GAUGAACGCUAGCGGCAGGCUUAAUACAUGCAAGUCGAGGGACAGCACAGGUAGCAAUACUGGGUGGUAACCGGCAAACGGGUGCGGAACACGUACACAACCUUCCUUUAAGUGGGGGAUAGCCCAGAGAAAUUUGGAUUAAUACCCCGUAAUAUAGUUGAAUGGCAUCAUUUGAUUAUUAUAGCUACGGCGCUUAAUGAUGGGUGUGCGGCUGAUUAGAUAGUUGGCAGGGUAACGGCCCACCAAGUCUACGAUCAGUAGCUGAUGUGAGAGCAUGAUCAGCCACACGGGCACUGAGACCCGGGCCCGACUCCUACGGGAGGCAGCAGUAAGGAAUAUUGGUCAAUGGACGCAAGUCUGAACCAGCCAUGCCGCGUGAAGGAUUAAGGUCCUCUGGAUUGUAAACUUCUUUUAUUUGGGACGAAAAAGGGCCUUUCUAGGUCAACUGACGGUACCAGAUGAAUAAGCACCGGCUAACUCCGUGCCAGCAGCCGCAGUAAGAC
rnacentral:rRNA from 1 species